AUGAUGUUUCUGACGCAUGCAUAUUUGUACUUCAAAACUACUAAAAGUAGUAUAUAUUUUUUCUGGGAAUUUUAUAGCAAAAUCUAUACAUUUAAAUGCUCAAUGCCUAAAACCUUCUAUCCUCUUUGUAAAUUAUUCCUAUACACAGAAAUUGGUUUUUUUAUCCUGUCAGUUAGAAGGGAAAAAUGGUUUGUGGUUCAUGCACGUGCUUCCAUCAAGAGAAGAAAAAACGCAUCAUCCAUCCGCACAAGAAACCGUUUCAAUAUGAUCAGUUGCUGCAAAAAAGGAAAGUUGCGGCUAAUUAAAGAGUUAUGA
rnacentral:rRNA from 1 species